GAACCAGACUCCUACGGGAGGCAGCAGUGAGGAAUAUUGGUCAAUGGGCGGGAGCCUGAACCAGCCAAGCCGCGUGAGGGAAGAAGGUACAGCGUAUCGUAAACCUCUUUUGUCAGGGAACAAAGGCGGGGACUAGUCCCCGGAUGAGGGUACCUGAAGAAAAAGCAUCGGCUAACUACGUGCCAGCAGCCGCGGUAAUACGUAGGGGGCAAGCGUUAUCCGGAUUUACUGGGUGUAAAGGGAGCGUAGACGGCAAUGCAAGUCUGGAGUGAAAGCCCAAGGCCCAACCAUGGGACUGCUCUGGAAACUGUGUAGCUUGAGUGCAGGAGGGGUAAGCGGAAUUCCUAGUGUAGCGGUGAAAUGCGUAGAUAUUAGGAGGAACACCGGUGGCGAAGGCGGCGUACUGGACUGCAACUGACGUUGAGGCUCGAAGGCGUGGGGAGCAAACAGGAUUAGAUACCCGAGUAACU
rnacentral:rRNA from 1 species